UACGUAGGGUGCAAGCGUUAAUCGGAAUUACUGGGCGUAAAGCGUGCGCAGGCGGCUUUGCAAGACAGAUGUGAAAUCCCCGGGCUCAACCUGGGAACUGCAUUUGUGACUGCAUGGCUAGAGUGCGGCAGAGGGGGAUGGAAUUCCGCGUGUAGCAGUGAAAUGCGUAGAGAUCAGGAGGAAUACCGAUGGCGAAGGCAGGUCCCUGGGCUGACACUGACGCUCAUGCACGAAAGCGUGGGGAGCAAACAGG
rnacentral:rRNA from 1 species